AAACGAUGUCGACUUGGAGGUUGUGCCCUUGAGGCGUGGCUUCCGGAGCUAACGCGUUAAGUCGACCACCUGGGGAGUACGGCCGCAAGGUUAAAACUCAAAUGAAUUGAAGGGGGCCCGCACAAGCGGUGGAGCAUGUGGUUUAAUUCGAUGCAACGCGAAGAACCUUACCUGGUCUUGACAUCCACAGAACUUUCCAGAGAUGGAUUGGUGCCUUCGGGAACUGUGAGACAGGUGCUGCAUGGCUGUCGUCAGCUCGUGUUGUGAAAUGUUGGGUUAAGUCCCGCAACGAGCGCAACCCUUAUCCUUUGUUGCCAGCGGUCCGGCCGGGAACUCAAAGGAGACUGCCAGUGAUAAACUGGAGGAAGGUGGGGAUGACGUCAAGUCAUCAUGGCCCUUACGACCAGGGCUACACACGUGCUACAAUGGCGCAUACAAAGAGAAGCGACCUCGCGAGAGCAAGCGGACCUCAUAAAGUGCGUCGUAGUCCGGAUUGGAGUCUGCAACUCGACUCCAUGAAGUCGGAAUCGCUAGUAAUCGUGGAUCAGAAUGCCACGGUG
rnacentral:rRNA from 1 species